AAUUAAUCUCUUAUCUGCUAAAAACCAACUCUCUUAUAGCAGAGCGCUCUCUUCUCUAGCUUUCUCCCAUUUCUUUGCUUUGUUAUAUAUUAUAUUGAUACACACACCUACACACAUCUGUAAAGACUUGACGGCACCGAGACAAGACUGCUAGCUCUAAAAUGGCCAGCGUUCCAGUUCCUGCCCACCAUGGUCAACCGACAAGUGAAGUUCGUUGGUCAACUGGUCUUUUUGACUGCUGCUCUGACAUGCAUAGCUGUUGCUUGACAUUUUGGUGUCCAUGCGUUGCUUUCGGGCGGAUCUCCGAAAUUGUAGACAAAGGAUCCUCCUCUUGCUGUGGAAAUGGCUUGCUAUAUUUCCUCCUCCAGAGUUUAACUGGUUUUGGUUGUUUGUAAUCGUGCAUAUACCGUACUAAACUUCGAAAACUCUAUAUGUUGGAGAAGAGCCCUUGUGGGGGUUGUUGUGUUCAUUGUUGGUGCGAGUCUUGUGCCUUGUGUCAAGGACUCGAGUAUCGUGAGCUCCAAAACCAGGGCUUCGAUGUGUCUGCCGGAUGGGACGGGAACUCGCACAAGUACAAUCAAGGAGUGGCUAUGGCUCCAGUUGUGGAAGGAGGAAUGAAACGCUAGUACUGCAGAAGACGUACUUUUAAUGAAAAUAAGUUUAAUUGGCGACUGAUGGAGAACGCUAUAGCAUGAUAUGUUUAAUAAUAACUCUGAAGUCGUCCGUACGCUAUCUCGUACGCGGAAAAAUAAUCAUAUGUAUAUAUAUUUCCUACAAUAAUAAUUAGCCAAUUAUUGGCACUUCUAAUAUAUGUAAUACUCCUCUUGUACGACCUAUAGAUAGAUAUUGCAAUUUGCAGUGCUGUAAUAUCAUAUCGUUCUGAAUA